GAAAUGCGAUACGUAAUGUGAAUUGCAGAAUCCCGUGAAUCAUCAAAUUUUCGAACGCAUAUUGCGCUCUUGGGUAUUCCUGAGAGCAUGCCUGUUUGAGUGUCAGUAUCAAACCUCAAACCCUUUUGGGUUUGGACAUGGGCCUUCUCAGAAACGAAUUUUCGGGUCUGAGUUGGAUGCUUAAAUGGAUAGGAGGAUUUAAACUUUUGAAACCCCUUUGUUAGGCGUGAUGAUGGUGUGGUUUACAUCUUUUUUUCGCCAAAGUUGGGUGCAGAGUUUUUUCUCCCUAAUCGCCUUACUGCUAGGCACCAACUAAAGGGAAAUCCCCUUUUGAAACUUGACCUCAAAUCAAGCAAGAUUACCCGCUGAACUUAA
rnacentral:misc_RNA from 1 species